rnacentral:rRNA from 1 species
UGGGGAAUAUUGCACAAUGGGCGAAAGCCUGAUGCAGCGACGCCGCGUGAGGGAUGACGGCCUUCGGGUUGUAAACCUCUUUCGCCAGGGACGAAGCGUGAGUGACGGUACCUGGAGAAGAAGCACCGGCUAACUACGUGCCAGCAGCCGCGGUAAUACGUAGGGUGCGAGCGUUGUCCGGAAUUAUUGGGCGUAAAGAGCUCGUAGGCGGUUUGUUGCGUCGACUGUGAAAACCUGGGGCUUAACUCUGGGCUUGCAGUCGAUACGGGCAGACUUGAGUUCGGUAGGGGAGACUGGAAUUCCUGGUGUAGCGGUGAAAUGCGCAGAUAUCAGGAGGAACACCGGUGGCGAAGGCGGGUCUCUGGGCCGAUACUGACGCUGAGGAGCGAAAGCGUGGGGAGCGAACAGGAUUAGAUACCCUGGUAGUCCACGCUGUAAACGUUGGGCGCUAGGUGUGGGGGACAUUCACGUUCUCCGUGCCGUAGCUAACGCAUUAAGCGCCCCGCCUGGGGAGUACGGCCGCAAGGCUAA